rnacentral:rRNA from 1 species
AGCUCCAAUAGCGUAUAUUAAAGUUGUUGCAGUUAAAAAGCUCGUAGUUGGAUUUGUGGUUGAGGUGGCCGGCCCUCACUAUGUGUGGUGCUUGGCUGUCCUCGUCCAUCCUUGGGUGGAACUGGUGUGGCAUUAAGUUGUCGUGUCAGGGAUGCCCAUCAUUUACUGUGAAAAAAUUAGAGUGUUCAAAGCAGGCUUACGCCGCUGAAUAUAUUAGCAUGGAAUAAUGAGAUAGGACCUUGGUACUAUUUUGUUGGUUUGCGCACCGAGGUAAUGAUUAAUAGGGACAGUUGGGGGUAUUCGUAUUCCAUUGUCAGAGGUGAAAUUCUUGGAUUUGUGGAAGACGAACUACUGCGAAAGCAUUUACCAAGGAUGUUUUCAUUAAUCAAGAACGAAAGUA